UACGUAGGGGGCAAGCGUUGUCCGGAUUUAUUGGGCGUAAAGAGCGUGUAGGCGGCCAGACAGGUCAGCUGUGAAAACUCGAGGCUCAACCUCGAGACGUCGGUUGAAACCGUCUGGCUAGAGUCCGGAAGAGGAGAGUGGAAUUCCCGGUGUAGCGGUGAAAUGCGCAGAUAUCGGGAAGAACACCCGUGGCGAAGGCGGCUCUCUGGGACGGUACUGACGCUGAGGCGCGAAAGCUAGGGGAGCAAACAGG
rnacentral:rRNA from 1 species